GUUAAACUUUGUUUGUGUUUCUUUAGGCGAAGCGGCUAGUAUUUCUAGGGUGCUGUUCGCUGGGGAUCCCACCAAACCCGACACAACGAACCAGAUCAAAUUAUUCUACAGCAACGAUGGAAACACUUGGGACUGUAUCUCAAAUGGCUCACCAUCCCCCUGCAGACCGUUCUAUUCAAACAGGCCCCCUCCAGUAAAAGGAAGUGACGUCAACGAAGUUGAUCUUCCUACAGUCAUAAAGGCGCGCUACUUCAGGUUUCAGCCACUCGAACCCAGUCCUAAAUACCGGGACGGUUCAUCGAGCUUGAGGGUUGACCUCAUUGGGUGCCGCGAAUAAGGUUAUUUAGCCCCCACUGGUUGAGUAGCCUGUGUGCAGCUAGUGCAUCAACAACUUAUAUGUUAAUUAGCUUAACCAUUGCCGUGAUAGCAUUUAAUUAAAGUGGGUAAAAAUUMAUGUUAGAUUAGAAAAAACAACUAAUGUAAUGUGAAAAAUACUGAAAUAAAAUUCAGUUGAAAAGGGAAUGUUGGUUUCCUACAGCGAUGUCUGGCUCGAUUAAAUCCAGAAAACUAAACGAGGGGGAUGAGGGGCUUGUCUUGGCAAAUUUUAUAUUUCUUAAUUAAUCGGUUUUCUUUAACGUUAUAAUAAUAAGAGUUUGACUUCUACUGGUCGCGUGUCGCGUGUGGCGGGUAACAAGUCGCGUGUGGCGGGUACUAAGUCGCGUGUGGCGGGUAACAAGUCGCGUGUGGCGGGUACUAAGUCGCGGGUACGAAUUUUUUUAAAAUUGGCCCAUAAACAAAAUAAUUGGUGUAUUAUAAUACAUGUUGAUAUAUCAUCAGCCAAAAAAAGGCAUAAGGGCAUACUAUUUUCCAAGUUUGAAUCCUAGUAGUAUCAAAACAAGUGUGAAUUUUGUCAAUGAAAAAUGCAAACAGACGUUCUUUGAAAUUGUAGAGAACUUUGAUUUUACGUAUGUCUAGUAUGUUGUUCCAUGGUGGAACAACACAAUUAAAAUAUGAAUUCCUAAAUAGACAUGUACGAAAACGAUUUGCGCGUAAAUUAAGACUAUUGGCAUUCCUAGUACGACCAGUGAUCAUAUAUGUGUUGUGUAUUCAUUAACAUUGAUGUUGUAUGGUCAUUAUACACAUCUAAAAGAAGCCCAAAGAAGCAGAUAUCACGAUAUUCAUGCCAGUAUUUUUAGAACAUGUAACAAGCAAGCAUACGAACGCUCAAAAUAAAUAAAAUUGUGCAUCACACUA